rnacentral:tRNA from 1 species
CGGGGCGUAGCUCAGCUUGGAUUAGAGCGCCAGAAUGGGGUUCUGGAGGUCGCAGGUUCAAAUCCUGUCGCCCCGAC